rnacentral:rRNA from 1 species
GAUGAACGCUGACAGAAUGCUUAACACAUGCAAGUCAACGUGCCUGACGGGUGAGUAACGCGUAAAGAACAUGCCUCACAGAUAGGGACAACAUGUGGAAACGAAUGCGAAAACCUGAUACUGUGAGAGAUCUUUGCGUCCCAUUAGCAGGUUUGAGAGGUAACGGAUCACCAGGGCGAUGAUGGGUAGCCGGCCUGAGAGGGUGAUCGGCCACAAGGGGACUGGGACACGGCCCUUAAUGCAAGUGUAGGCAUGAGUGGGGAAAAUUGGAAGAUGUGCCAAAGUCUGAUCCAGCAAUUCUGGGUGCACGAUGAUUUUUUCGGAAUGUAAAGUGCUUUCAGUUGAGAAGCGGUACCAACAGAAUAAGUGCCGGCUAAAUACGUGCCAGCAGCCGCGGUAAUAC